AGAUUACAAAAUUUAUGAUUGGCACUCGCAUAUUUUCUCCGCUUUUGGCAAAACCAUUAAAUCAUGGAUAUAUAAUUGAACCCUAACUCUACCGAAAUAGACUUGCCCUUAAUGCAACUCGCCGCUAACCCUAACCCUAACCCUACCCUAACCGAAACCAGCCUAACCUAAACCAACCCAUGCGCACUCGGUCUAACGCGAAAUCGAUAUCUCAAAACUACUCAUCACAUCAAACAAAUUGUGUAUGCGGCGCAAAACUAUAACCAUGUCAAAAUUCAUUAAAAAGGUUCGUUUGAAUUUUUUAAAAAUUAGAACUACAUUUUUGCAGUAAUUUUCUUCCCUUAACUGAUGUUGACUGAUGUUAUGCAAGAUAACUAGGAUACAGGAUAAAGGAGGAACAGUGUGCGAGUUCCAGACUGGAGAAUAAUAUUCAAGCGGAGAUCUCACCAUAGAUGAAUAUAAUAGUCAUGGAAUUUGCUGAAUAUCCAACAUCAUUUGUGAUGGUAUUUAAGGAAAAAUAGGAGCUGUUUACGUUAUAAUUGAAACUGAUACAAAGGUUAGUUCUACAGAAACUCAUUUCGCAGCAUUUUUCAACAUGUAGUAUCAAAUUGUAUUGUUUGCAAUGAACCAUAGAUGAACAGAAUUUAAGUCGAAAUGACCAGUUGGCAAUCCUGUUUAGAUUUAUUUGUUCUUAAUAUGUUUAAUUUGUCCGCAAAAGGGAUUGGAAUGGAAUGACAUAUAACAGGAGGGAG